CCCAUCCCCAAAUUCGCCGGAUUUGUUUGUUGGAUCGUCUCCUCUCUUCUUUCUCUCUCUCUCUCUCUCUUUCUCUCUCCUUUUUCCCAGCUUAGUAUAGGAACUUGAAAAAGCGCAUACAGUCUUUGUUGUAUAAUACAUGACAGAACUCAAAGACCCUGCAAUUAAACUCUUUGGCAGAACCAUUCAGUUGCCGGAUUCUUCUGGAACUCAUGAAGAUGAUUCUUUGCCUGAGGACACCAACGGAGAAGAAGAAGAAGAUGUAGAAGCUCACAAGGAUGAUUUUGGAGGAAAACUGGAUGAUGAUGAGGACGAGAUGGAAAUUUUGACUGGCAAGGAGUUGCAGGAUCAGAAUUCAGUUCCAACUAGAACUGAUAGUAUAAAGGAGCCACCUGUUGAUAACGACUGUUCAACAAGACCUUCAAAAAGUGAAGAAGAGCAAGGAGAAGCAAGUAAUUCGCAAGAGAAAAUCCUCAAAAAGCCAGACAAGAUAAUUCCAUGUCCCCGGUGUAACAGCAUGGAAACCAAAUUUUGUUAUUUCAACAAUUACAAUGUGAACCAGCCUAGACACUUCUGCAAGAAUUGCCAGAGAUAUUGGACAGCUGGUGGGACCAUGAGGAAUGUGCCUGUAGGUGCUGGUCGUCGGAAAAACAAGAAUUCAGUUCCACAUUACCGCCAAAUAUCCGUCUCUGAAACACUUCCAAACGCACAAACAGAUUAUCCAAAUGGAAUACAACAACCUAUUCUUGCAUUUGGAUCCCCUACACCACUCUGUGAAUCAAUGGCUUCAGUUUUGAAUAUUGGUGACAAAACAAUGCAUAAUUGCUCACAAAAUGGGUUCCAUAAACCACAAGAACCUGGGGUUCCAGUUAGUUACGGAGCUGGAGAUAAUGGAGAUGACCAUUCCAGAAGAUCAUCUGUCACUACUGCAAAUUCAGAGGAUGAAGGUAACAAAAUUGUACCGGACAUGCUAAAGAAGAACUGCCAUAACUUUCCACCUUACUUGACUUGCUAUCCUGGGGCUCCUUGGCCAUAUCCAUGCAGUUCUGUCCCAUGGAGCUCUGCAGUCCCUCCUCCUGGUUAUUGCCCUCCUGGUUUUCCUAUGCCGUUUUUCCCAGCAGCUUCUUAUUGGGGUUAUACUGUAGCAGGUUCUUGGAAUGUUCCUUGGAUGUCUCCAACUACUGCUUCCCUAAACCAAACACCUACGACUUCUGGUCCUAAUUCUCCAACUCUGGGAAAACACUCAAGGGAUGAAAACAUACUAAAACCUCUGAGCCGCACGGUAGAACCUUCAAAAGAGAGUGAUCCUGAGAAGUGCCUCUGGGUUCCAAAAACUCUCCGAAUUGAUGAUCCAGGAGAGGCUGCAAAGAGUUCUAUAUGGGCGACAUUGGGAAUAAAACAUGAUAGUGUUAAUUCAGUUGGUGGAAGUCCUUUCAGUGCUUUUCAGCCGAAGAAUGAUGACAACAAUAGGGUUUCAGAAAACUCUACUGUAUUACAAGCAAACCCAGCAGCAUUGACUCGGUCAGUAAAUUUCAAUGAGAGGUCAUAAACAGUUGUGAAAUCAUUGAGAAUGUUAAAUAUCAGACAGUGAUGGCAAGGCCAGGCAGGAAUUCUUCAGCUCAGUAACUCUUAACUACUGUUACUUGUCGGCAUAUUUUGGUUAGAGCGAGUUCUUCACACAGUAGUGUUGGCGAAAAUGUAGGUUUCAGAGUGCUGUGCUAAAAGGAUUCAAAUAAAGGCAUUAGAAGAGACACUUGGUGCAUCUUUAUCUUUAGCAGGAUUUAUUCCUUAGUGAAGAACAGACCACCAUUUUAGUUCCAGCUAAGGUAAUGGAUAAUUUACAAGUUUCAUGUCUAUUGAUUACUUUACUUCUCAAACCAUCUCUAUCUAUGUAUGUAAAUAGAGCCUAGAGCUCGGGGCGGAGCCAGCCCUUUGGCUGUGGUCUAAUCGAUCUAAGCUUCAUGUAAGCUUUUACUUUGUCAUCUGGUGUAGUCGGGAGAGCUACUAUAAAUUGGUACGAUAAGUGGAUUUGUUGUGAUCUGUUUCAUCCUUGUAAUGGGAGAGAUGGAGUGUUGAAGUCUUCUGUACAGAAAUAUUUGCUCACUUUUUUCUCUUCUUUUAUGGCAUUUCUCAUAUUAGUGCUGUUAUACAGCAAGAGGGAAGGACCUUUGGUACAAU